rnacentral:rRNA from 1 species
GAACGAGAAAGUGGAGCAAUCCAUGAGUAAAGUGGCGACCGGGUGAGUAACACGUGACUAACCUACCUUUUAGUGGGGGAUAACUCCGGGAAACCGGAGCUAAUACCGCAUAACAUCGCAAGAUCAAAGCAGCAAUGCGCUUGGAGAGGGGGUCGCGGCUGAUUAGCUCGUUGGCGGGGUAACGGCCCACCAAGGCGAAGAUCGGUAUCCGGCCUGAGAGGGCGCACGGACACACUGGAACUGAAACACGGUCCAGACUCCUACGGGAGGCAGCAGUGGGGAAUUUUGCGCAAUGGGGGAAACCCUGACGCAGCAACGCCGCGUGGAGGAUGAAGCCCUUUGGGGCGUAAACUCCUUUCGACUCGGACGAUAAUGACGGUACGAGUGGAAGAAGCACCGGCUAACUCUGUG